rnacentral:rRNA from 1 species
AUGCUUUAACAUGCAAGUCGAACGGCAGCAUAGAGAGCUUGCUCUCUGAUGGCGAGUGGCGAACGGGUGAGUAAUAUAUCGGAACGUACCUAGUAAUGGGGAACAACUAGCCGAAAGGUUAGCUAAUACCGCAUACGACCUAUGGGUGAAAGCAGGGGAUCUUCGGACCUUGCGUUAUUAGAGCGGCCGAUAUCUGAUUAGGUAGUUGGUGGGGUAAAAGCCUACCAAGCCAACGAUCAGUAGCUGGUCUGAGAGGACGAUCAGCCACACUGGAACUGAGACACGGUCCAGACUCCUACGGGAGGCAGCAGUGGGGAAUUUUGGACAAUGGGGGCAACCCUGAUCCAGCCAUUCCGCGUGAGUGAAGAAGGCCUUCGGGUUGUAAAGCUCUUUCACAAGAGAAGAAAUCUUACUAUCAAAUAAAUAGUAAGGAUGACGGUAUCUUGAGAAGAAGCA